GAAAAAGUGAAAAAGUAAAGCCCACCCAGCAAACAUCAGGGCCCCCGGGUUUUGGAGACCUGCUUUUCCCAAGGGUGCCAAAGGCAUUCUCGAAAGCACCUUGCGAUAGUGGUGGCGCCGUGCGGCUGGGGCGGGGCGGGACAGGGAGGACAGACGUUCUGGCUUUAAUACAGCAGCUCUGCCAUGAGCUUAAAUAAUUAGCAAGACUGCGUCUGCCUUCCCCCCCGGGCCUGACAGGCGGUGACAGUCGGGGCCUGGCUGCCCGCAGAUGGAUGGGGAUUGCCUCCGCCAUCUGUCUUCCAAAGGAUCCUGUAGGUCCAGCUAUUAUUUCAGUCAGACACUGGCAGGCGGGCAAUUGUUCGCAGCCUCUGUGAGGAAUAGCGGCUGUCAAGAGUUUGAUUCAGAUUCCAUAGAAAAGGAAAGUACUGAAGAGUUCCGGAAAACACAUUGCUGCCAAAGUUGACUGGGGCAGCGGGAACACCUACCCGCCAAUGUCAUGUGUAAGGCAAAAUAAAGGCAGCGACUGUUUAUCGUCUUUGUUUGUU
rnacentral:lncRNA from 12 species